rnacentral:tRNA from 1 species
GGGUGUAUAACUCAGUUGGUUAGAGUGAUGGACUUUUAAUCCGAAGGUCUUGGGUUCAAGU